CAACUUUCCCAUGGGGCCGAGAAUCUAGUCAAACUUGGUCAUUUAGAGGUCGUAAAAGUCGUAACAAGGUUUCCGUAGGUGAACCUGCGGAAGGAUCAUUACUGUGAUUUAGUACUACACUGCGUGAGCGGAACGAAAACAACAACACCUAAAAUGUGGAAUAUAGCAUAUAGUCGACAAGAGAAAUCUACGAAAAACAAACAAAACUUUCAACAACGGAUCUCUUGGUUCUCGCAUCGAUGAAGAGCGCAGCGAAAUGCGAUACCUAGUGUGAAUUGCAGCCAUCGUGAAUCAUCGAGUUCUUGAACGCACAUUGCGCCCCUCGGCAUUCCGGGGGGCAUGCCUGUUUGAGCGUCGUUUCCAUCUUGCGCGUGCGCAGAGUUGGGGGAGCGGAGCGGACGACGUGUAAAGAGCGUCGGAGCUGCGACUCGCCUGAAAGGGAGCGAAGCUGGCCGAGCGAACUAGACUUUUUUUCAGGGACGCUUGGCGGCCGAGAGCGAGUGUUGCGAGACAACAAAAAGCUCGACCUCAAAUCAGGUAGGAAUACCCGCUGAACUUAAGCAUAUCAAUAAGCGGAGGAAAAGAAACCAACAGGGAUUGCCUCAGUAGCGGCGAGUGAAGCGGCAAGAGCUCAGAUUUGAAAUCGUGCUUUGCGGCACGAGUUGUAGAUUGCAGGUUGGAGUCUGUGUGGAAGGCGGUGUCCAAGUCCCUUGGAACAGGGCGCCCAGGAGGGUGAGAGCCCCGUGGGAUGCCGGCGGAAGCAGUGAGGCCCUUCUGACGAGUCGAGUUGUUUGGGAAUGCAGCUCCAAGCGGGUGGUAAAUUCCAUCUAAGGCUAAAUACUGGCGAGAGACCGAUAGCGAACAAGUACUGUGAAGGAAAGAUGAAAAGCACUUUGAAAAGAGAGUGAAACAGCACGUGAAAUUGUUGAAAGGGAAGGGUAUUGCGCCCGACAUGGGGAUUGCGCACCGCUGCCUCUCGUGGGCGGCGCUCUGGGCUUUCCCUGGGCCAGCAUCGGUUCUUGCUGCAGGAGAAGGGGUUCUGGAACGUGGCUCUUCGGAGUGUUAUAGCCAGGGCCAGAUGC
rnacentral:rRNA from 1 species